rnacentral:misc_RNA from 1 species
GAGUCCCAGUCUCCAGCCACACGUGGGUCAUGAAGGUCACUGCACCUACAGGCCUCUGUCCGUUGAAGACCAUGUAGGAGGCCAGGCUGGAGUGCAGCCGUGCGAUCUCAGCUCACUGCAACCUCUGCCUCCCAGCUUCAAGUGAUUUUCCUGCCUCAACCUCCUGAGUAGCUGGGAUUACAGAGGUUGGCAAACGUUUGCAUAAGGAGCCCAGUAGUGAACACUUCAGGCUUUGAGAGCCUCACGCUUUCUGUCGCAGCUGCUUGGCUCUGCCAUUGCAGCUUGAGAGCCUUGUAAAGCCUUAGAGUGUGAGCUCACCGAAGCAUCAGAAGAAAACUCCUAAUUUCUUACACUGCCUCUCCUACCUCUAAAGACACCAGAUUAUGCUUUGGGAGAAAAAAAUCCAACUGGCAAAAGAGAUGCGUUCCUCAGUGGAUUCCGAGAUCGGCCAGACGGAGAUCCGGGCCAUGAAGGGCGAGAUCCACAGGAUGAAGGCUGGAGUGAAGUGGUGGGAUCUCGGCUCGCUGCAACCUCCGCCUCCCAAGUUCAAGCGAUUCUCCU